rnacentral:rRNA from 1 species
AACGUAGGAGGCGAGCGUUAUCCGGAUUUACUGGGUGUAAAGCGCGUGCAGGCGGCUCGCUAAGUUGGAUGUGAAAGCUCCUGGCUCAACUGGGAGAGGUCGUUCAAAACUGGCGGGCUUGAGGAUGGUAGGGGAAGGUGGAAUUCCGGGUGUAGUGGUGAAAUGCGUAGAUAUCCGGAGGAACACCAGUGGCGAAGGCGGCCUUCUGGACCAUGACUGACGCUCAGACGCGAAAGCUAGGGGAGCAAACGGG